rnacentral:rRNA from 1 species
AGUGAACGCUGGCGGUAGGACUAACACAUGCAAGUCGAACGGCAGCACAGUAAGAGCUUGCUCUUACGGGUGGCGAGUGGCGGACGGGUGAGGAAUACAUCGGAAUCUACUUUUUCGUGGGGGAUAACGUAGGGAAACUUACGCUAAUACCGCAUACGACCUACGGGUGAAAGCAGGGGAUCUUCGGACCUUGCGCGUUUGAAUGAGCCGAUGUCGGAUUAGCUAGUUGGCGGGGUAAAGGCCCACCAAGGCGACGAUCCGUAGCUGGUCUGAGAGGAUGAUCAGCCACACUGGAACUGAGACACGGUCCAGACUCCUACGGGAGGCAGCAGUGGGGAAUAUUGGACAAUGGGCGCAAGCCUGAUCCAGCCAUACCGCGUGGGUGAAGAAGGCCUUCUGGUUGUAAAGCCCUUUUGUUGGGAAAGAAAAGCAGCAGGUUAAUACCCCGCUGUUCUGACGGUACCCAAAGAAUAAGCACCGGCUAACUUCGUG